UAUAUAUAUAUAGUCCAUUGAUAAGUUUUAUUAAUCUUGUCAACAAGACAAGAAAUUUGUGUAUAAGGUUGACAAAAUUAUUCUAUAUGUCACGUACACGUGAUAAUGAGUAUAUAAUAUAUAUAUAUACAUACUUAUAUACAUACAUACAUACAUACAUACAUACAUGCAUACAUAUAUAAACAUAUACAUCUUAAAAGAUAAUGCUUUCCUUCUUUAAUUUCAUACAAAAAGGACGAAGGAAAUAAAGGAUGAUGUAAGAUGCGGGGGAAGAGGAGUGUUUGAUAAAAACACAAAUAACAGCGAUAUUUUUUACCAAAGUCAUACCGUUUUUUCCCGGCGGUAAAAACCGAGUACAAAAUAAAAUGUAGGAAUCUAAAACCUACGGCUCUUAUAAAAAAAGGAAAGAAAACUGUCUAUGAUAAGGAAGGUCAAAUUCACUCAAUGAAAAAUGAUCAAUUGUAAUAACAUAUUAUGAAAGAGGAUAUAUUAUUAAACGUUGUAAUGCUAUAAUAUAUUUUUAAAGGAUUUUA